UACGUAGGUGGCAAGCGUUGUCCGGAUUUACUGGGCGUAAAGAGCGCGCAGGCGGUCGUUCAAGUCGCGUGUGAAAGCCCCCGGCUCAACUGGGGAGGGUCACGCGAUACUGAUCGACUGGAAGGCAGGAGAGGGUAGUGGAAUUCCCGGUGUAGUGGUGAAAUGCGUAGAUAUCGGGAGGAACACCAGGGGCGAAGGCGACUACCUGGCCUGUUCUUGACGCUGAGGCGCGAAAGCUAGGGGAGCAAACGGG
rnacentral:rRNA from 1 species